UUGGUGCUGAUACUUUUGUUGUAGAUGGCGAUGACUGAUCUGCAGGCUCUUGUUGUGGGGAACAAGAACCUGACCAUCCAUGUGUAUGUUUCGCGUCUGUGGCAGCAUUGUGGAUCCACUGAUAACAGUCCUAUCAAAGACACUGACAUGGUCCUUUUGGAUGUGUAGGGCAAACAUCUAUUCUGAGAUUGGUGAGAAGCUUGUGCCUAAGUUCAAUUGAGGCAACCACAUCCAUGUUGUUUCUUGGCAUGAGCAACCACAUCUAUGCUGAUAUUGGCUCCUGGGCUCCUUUAUAGGUCUCUUACUGUGAAGCUUGUGGUUGGCAUGCCUUUCAAGCAUUCAAUUCUUAUGAGGGUGGAGUUGGAGAAGGUGGGGCGUCAGAGCAGAGCUAAUUGCAGCGUCCACGACCUCCUUGGGCAUGGCCAAUCCCGCCAGAUUGACCAGGUUGCAGGGUUUGGUCAGCAGUGUGUGUGGCCAGUGGUUGGAGCACACUGAAGUGGA